rnacentral:tRNA from 1 species
GGUUGUAGCUCAGUGGUAGAGCACUUGCCUGGCACGCAUGAGGCUCUGGGUUCAAUCCUCAGCACCA